GAUUAGGGCCAGUUUGGGUCGCUAGUGUAGGGGAUUACUUGGUGGGGGUUUUAUUCCUGUUAUGAUUCCGUGUUCCGUGUUCCAUGUUUUAUUACGAAUCUGUGUGCUUUCCUCUGCCUUCCUCUGCUUUCCUCUGUUUUAUAAUACUUAUGGGUGCCGUAUUUAUGUUAUGUAAUCUGCUUCUGUGCUUUACUAUGUGUUUGUGUGGUAUCUCGUGCCUUGAGCCGGGGGUCUUUCGGAAAUAGCCUUUCUACUUCAUCAGAGGUAGAGGUAUGGACUGCGUAUAUCUUACCCCCCCCAGACCCCACUAGGUGGGAAUACACUGGGUUUGUU
rnacentral:lncRNA from 1 species